rnacentral:rRNA from 1 species
AAUCAACGCUGGCGGCGUGCCUCAGACAUGCAAGUCGAACGAUUAAACUUUCCUUCGGGAAAGAUAUAAAGUGGCGCACGGGUGAGUAACACGUAGGUAAUGUACCUUUGGGUGGGAAGUAACCAUCGGAACGAUGGCUAAUACCGCAUAAUGCAGCGGCAUCGCAAGAUGACAGUUGUUAAAGAAUUUAUUCGCCUAAAGAAGCAGCCUGC